rnacentral:ribozyme from 13 species
GAUACACAUCUUGUAAGUGGUUUUCAUCUCUUUGGUUUUUCUUUCUUUUUUUUCUUUUUUUUCUUUCUCAA